CAUUCCCUUCGCUCUAUUCCUUUUAAGUUUAUUUAUUUGAGAGAGACAGAGACGGUGCGAGUGGGGAAGAGGCAGAGAGAGAGGGGGAGAGAGAAUCCCAAGCAGGCUCCACGCUGCCAGUGCAGGGCCUGACGCGGGGCUUGAACUCAUGAAGCCGUGAGAUCGCGACCCGAGCUGAAACCGAGAGUCGGGGGCUCACCCGACUGAGCCACCCGGGCGCCCGUCAUUCCCUUCUAGGGGGGAUUUAUCCAUCUAUUUUCUCCUCUCAAAUUAAAAAAACAAACACUUAAUCUCUUAAUGGAGGCUUACGGAAUUCAAACGGGGCAGCUCUUUCCCGGAAAUAGCGGAUGAUAAGGAAGAGAACAAGGACGAUACGGACAAAGCACGACAGAUUCAUGACUGAUGCCGCCCCUGGGGGAGGAGUCUAUUCAAACCGAGCGACCCAGGGGGCAGAGGCACGGCUCCCGUGGACGUGGACGGUUGCUCUGGGCGGCUUAGCAACAGACGGGAGCGCCUGCCUCAGCAGCGGGCGGCGACACCGUGUGGGGCUGGGGCUUUCCACCUGCAGUCACGCUCUGCGGGGCCAAGCUGGUCCUGCCCCUUCAGCCCUGCACCAGCGCCGUGAGCACCCCAGCACCCCCCUCUCCCCCAGGCCGGGCCUAACGGCAGCACCGUGGGGAGAGACACAACAGGUUAAAUGCAUCUCACCCAGUCCUAACACCUAUAUGGCUUACCUAUAGAAAGGUAGAACCCUUGCAGAGGCUAAGUGAGGGGAUGUCAUGUGCGUGAAGAAGACGGUCCACGGCCAGAGCAACGUAAGCUGUCUAAUUCGGACGGAGCUUUUGGCCCCAUCAUCGCAGGGGUGAGUAAUUAUCUGCUCACGAGAGGCAGCAGCUUCACCGCUCCCUGAGUCUCUUCUGUGAAAUGGAGAUAAAAAUGCACGGACAGAAGGCCACCCCCUUGCCUGGACUCCAAGAAGCUCCUGCUUCUUCCCCCCGUCCACUCCACACUCUCCUCGCGGCCUGUGCCUGCCCUCUGAGACGCCCUCCUGCGUCCUCAGAUGCUCACGGCAUUGCCUGGGAUGACCCUGACUCCCUGUGUCACAGCCGAUCAGCACUCUGGCCACCGGGUAGUCACGCAGCCCCAGAGAUGCUAUUUCCCCAGCGCGGGCAAGCUUCCGGUUGGUCCCUUAUUUACCCCCGGCACCUCCUCAGAGGUAUAAACGAAGCAAAGGUCCUGACAAGGAGCCUCUUAACCUAGUUUUCCCUUAACAGGAGUUGAGAUUGAGCCUGGAAUUCAAGAAAGCAAAGAUGUUGAGGAGUUGACAUCCGUACACAGCUACGUGCUAACAUCUAACCGCACAGUUGCCCUCUUUGUUCUUUGUGGACUGUCAGUAGAAAUUGCGGAAGAAAACAUCCAGGACGCUCUCAAUUUUGAGCAGCUGGGUACAGUCAUACAGGUCGUCCACUGCACAAGGCGCCUAGCCAAGGCAGCGAGUGGGUAGCCCACGCUGCACUCACAAGACUUACACAUGGCUCAGGGGGGGCAAAGCAUCUUCUCCUACUUUGCACAAAGAUGCUAUAUGGGCUUACCUCACCAGCAGAGCGUCACCUUUGUGUGGUUUCUACCUCUUUGUGUUCAUCGAGGCUUCCAAAUGCGAAGCAAAGCGUUGAAAGCGUGUCCCCGGGGGGGUGUGGGGCCCGCCCUGGAGCUUAAGCAUUCCUGCCCUCGUGCACCAGG
rnacentral:lncRNA from 1 species